rnacentral:miRNA from 1 species
UUUAAAGUCCACAACUCAUCAAGGAAAAUGAAAGUCAAAGUUGGCAGCUUACUUAAACUUAAUCACAGCCUUUAAUGUUGAUGAUGAUGGAACAAUGAGAUAAGUUAAUAUACCAUAUCUAUCUCAUUGUUCCAUCAUCAUCAGUACCUAAAGUGCCUAACAUCAUUAUUUAAUUUUUUUUUUUUUUGGCACACGAAUAACCAUGCCGUUUUGGAUCUUUUAAAGUCCACAACUCAUCAAGGAAAAUGAAAGUCAAAGUUGGCAGCUUACUUAAACUUAAUCACAGCCUUUAAUGUCAACAAAAUCUGAACACACAGGUAAGUUAAUAUACCAUAUCUACCUGUGUGUUCAGAUUUUGUUGGUACCUAAAGUGCCUAACAUCAUUAUUUAAUUUUUUUUUUUUUUGGCACACGAAUAACCAUGCCGUUUUGGAUCUUUUAAAGUCCACAACUCAUCAAGGAAAAUGAAAGUCAAAGUUGGCAGCUUACUUAAACUUAAUCACAGCCUUUAAUGUGGAAGAGGAGGCUGGUCAUAUUUAAGUUAAUAUACCAUAUCUAAAUAUGACCAGCCUCCUCUUCCGUACCUAAAGUGCCUAACAUCAUUAUUUAAUUUUUUUUUUUUUUGGCACACGAAUAACCAUGCCGUUUUGGAUCUUUUAAAGUCCACAACUCAUCAAGGAAAAUGAAAGUCAAAGUUGGCAGCUUACUUAAACUUAAUCACAGCCUUUAAUGUUCAGCCUCCUCCAUGAUAAAUGUAAGUUAAUAUACCAUAUCUACAUUUAUCAUGGAGGAGGCUGAGUACCUAAAGUGCCUAACAUCAUUAUUUAAUUUUUUUUUUUUUUGGCACACGAAUAACCAUGCCGUUUUGGAUCUUUUAAAGUCCACAACUCAUCAAGGAAAAUGAAAGUCAAAGUUGGCAGCUUACUUAAACUUAAUCACAGCCUUUAAUGUAGAACGAGAAGCAGAACUGACUUAAGUUAAUAUACCAUAUCUAAGUCAGUUCUGCUUCUCGUUCUGUACCUAAAGUGCCUAACAUCAUUAUUUAAUUUUUUUUUUUUUUGGCACACGAAUAACCAUGCCGUUUUGGAUCUUUUAAAGUCCACAACUCAUCAAGGAAAAUGAAAGUCAAAGUUGGCAGCUUACUUAAACUUAAUCACAGCCUUUAAUGUAAAAUGCGCACUACGAAUGAGUUAAGUUAAUAUACCAUAUCUAACUCAUUCGUAGUGCGCAUUUUGUACCUAAAGUGCCUAACAUCAUUAUUUAAUUUUUUUUUUUUUUGGCACACGAAUAACCAUGCCGUUUUGGAUCUUUUAAAGUCCACAACUCAUCAAGGAAAAUGAAAGUCAAAGUUGGCAGCUUACUUAAACUUAAUCACAGCCUUUAAUGUAGACAGGGCAGGUGGGUAUAUAUAAGUUAAUAUACCAUAUCUAUAUAUACCCACCUGCCCUGUCUGUACCUAAAGUGCCUAACAUCAUUAUUUAAUUUUUUUUUUUUUUGGCACACGAAUAACCAUGCCGUUUUGGAUCUUUUAAAGUCCACAACUCAUCAAGGAAAAUGAAAGUCAAAGUUGGCAGCUUACUUAAACUUAAUCACAGCCUUUAAUGUACAUGGAAGUGAAGAUCAUAGAUAAGUUAAUAUACCAUAUCUAUCUAUGAUCUUCACUUCCAUGUGUACCUAAAGUGCCUAACAUCAUUAUUUAAUUUUUUUUUUUUUUGGCACACGAAUAACCAUGCCGUUUUGGAUCUUUUAAAGUCCACAACUCAUCAAGGAAAAUGAAAGUCAAAGUUGGCAGCUUACUUAAACUUAAUCACAGCCUUUAAUGUGAACCAAACUAUCAAGAAGAGUUAAGUUAAUAUACCAUAUCUAACUCUUCUUGAUAGUUUGGUUCGUACCUAAAGUGCCUAACAUCAUUAUUUAAUUUUUUUUUUUUUUGGCACACGAAUAACCAUGCCGUUUUGGAUCUUUUAAAGUCCACAACUCAUCAAGGAAAAUGAAAGUCAAAGUUGGCAGCUUACUUAAACUUAAUCACAGCCUUUAAUGUAGAAGUCCGAAUCAUGCAAAACUAAGUUAAUAUACCAUAUCUAGUUUUGCAUGAUUCGGACUUCUGUACCUAAAGUGCCUAACAUCAUUAUUUAAUUUUUUUUUUUUUUGGCACACGAAUAACCAUGCCGUUUU